CGCCCCCCACGGAGGGGACGUCCAGGCCACGCCCCCCGCACCUGAGGGCAGGUUCGGGCCGCGCCUCUGCCCCCGCAGGGACGGCGGGCACCCUCACACCCCCUCAGCGGCCCCGCCGAGCCCCCAGCCCGCCGCCGUGCGGCUCGAAGGAUGAUCCGUAGCGACCGAUGGCACUUGGGAGCUGAGGCCUCUCUGCGAGUAGUGCUCGCUACCGUUCCGAGGACAAGUUCACCUGGCUGGCGCAACUGGAAUUCACACAGCCUUUGUCUUUCUUCAAAUGGAAGAACAACAGGUCUGUGACCAUCAUGCAGGAAUGUUCUCAACUAUUCUGGCAGCAGAAAUAAAGCCCAAAACUGAAGGCUCCUGGGUACCAGCAGCAGCUUUACUUUCUGUUGUCACAGUGACGUGACUUGACUUCAGUUUUUUAGCUGUCUUCUUCACCUUCUUGGGUUUUGCCUUCUAGAAUUAAUCAGAAGUACAUCUCAGACAAAUCCUCAUACCAUUUCUAAAUGUAUAAUAAUUGUUUUCAUGUCGUUAAAAAUUAGAUGGUGUAGCAACAUUAAAGACUUUUACAUAUGGA